CCAUGCAGUCGAGGGGUAGCAGGAUCUAGCAAUAGAUUGCUGACGACCGGCGCACGGGUCAUUUAAGGUAUCCAACCUUCCGUUUACUCGGGGAUAGCCUUUCCAUUUAAAGAUUAAUACCCGAUAGUAUGUUUUUCCCGCAUGGGAGAACCAUUAAAGUUUUUCGGUAAUCGAUGGGGAUGCGUUCCAUUAGGCAGUUGGUGAGGUAACGGCUCACCAAACCUUCGAUGGAUAGGGGUUCUGAGAGGAAGGUCCCCCACAUUGAACUGAGACACGGUCCAAACUCCUACGGGAGGCAGCAGUGAGGAAUAUUGGUCAAUGGACGAGAGUCUGAACCAGCCAAGUAGCGUGAAGGAUGACUGCCCUAUGGGUUGUAAACUUCUUUUAUAUGGGAAUAAAGGAGCCUACGUGUAGGUUUUUGUAUGUACCAUACGAAUAAGGAUCGGCUAACUCCGUGCCAGCAGCCGCGGUAAUACGGAGGAUCCAAGCGUUAUCCGGAUUUAUUGGGUUUAAAGGGAGCGUAGGUGGAGGCUUAAGUCAGUUGUGAAAGUUUGCGGCUCAACCGUAAAAUUGCAGUUGAUACUGGGUUUCUUGAGUACAGUAGAGGUGGGCGGAAUUCGUGUUGUAGCGGUGAAAUGCUUAGAUAUCACGAAGAACUCCCAUUGCGAAGGCAGCUCACUAGACUGGCACUGACACUUGAUGCUCGAAAGUGUGGGUAUCAAACAGGAUUAGAUACCCUGGUAGUCCACACAGUAAAACGAUGAAUACUCGCUGGUUUGCGAAUACAGUAAGCGGGCAAGCGGAAGCCUUUAAUAAUCCC
rnacentral:rRNA from 1 species